CCUACGGGGUGCAGCAGUGGGGAAUAUUGCACAAUGGGGGAAACCCUGAUGCAGCGACGCCGCGUGAGUGAAGAAGUAUUUCGGUAUGUAAAGCUCUAUCAGCAGGGCAGAAGAAAGACGUUAACUGACUAAGAAGCCCCGGCUAACUACGUGCCAGCAGCCGCGGUAAUACGUAGGGGGCAAGCGUUAUCCGGAUUUACUGGGUGUAAAGGGAGCGUAGACGGCUGUGCAAGUCUGAAGUGAAAGCCCAGGGCUCAACCCUGGGACUGCUUUGGAAACUGUGGAGCUAGAGUGCUGGAGAGGUAAGUGGAAUUCCUAGUGUAGCGGUGAAAUGCGUAGAUAUUAGGAGGAACACCAGUGGCGAAGGCGGCUUACUGGCACAUAACUGACGCUGAGGAGCGAAAGCGUGGGUAGCAAACAGGAUUAGAUACCCUAGUAGUC
rnacentral:rRNA from 1 species